AGCAGUCCGCUCGUUAUCGCCCAUUGUGUCUAUUUAGGCGCGAGAAGAUGGAGGAAGACUUUUUCUACGGGCUGUUCUGCAACGAAAACUGAGGAUUUUCACUAUCUUGGAAAGCAGAAAACCUCGAUUUUGAGGCCGAAAUCUCCGCGGCGCGUUGUCAAGGAACCCGAGCAGCCUGUAUCUUUCGAACGCAAGAACCGUCGAAGCCGAGAUUUUCCGUUUGGUGUCCUGCUUCGAGGAACGAGUCGCAACCGGCACUCGCAAGAAUAUCCGAAGGCAAUUUUCUCGGCAGUUCGAAUUCCGUGGCAGUUAAACGCUCGAAGAAGCGGAGCGGACCGCCUCCGAUGGCGCGCUG